rnacentral:rRNA from 1 species
GACGAACGCUGGCGGCGUGCUUAACACAUGCAAGUCGAACGGUAAGGCCCUUCGGGGUACACGAGUGGCGAACGGGUGAGUAACACGUGGGUGAUCUGCCCUGCACUUCGGGAUAAGCCUGGGAAACUGGGUCUAAUACCGGAUAGGACCAUUGCCUGCAUGGGUGGUGGUGGAAAGCUUUUGCGGUGUGGGAUGGGCCCGCGGCCUAUCAGCUUGUUGGUGGGGUGAUGGCCUACCAAGGCGACGACGGGUAGCCGGCCUGAGAGGGUGACCGGACACACUGGGACUGAGAUACGGCCCAGACUCCUACGGGAGGCAGCAGUGGGGAAUAUUGCACAAUGGGCGCAAGCCUGAUGCAGCGACGCCGCGUGAGGGAUGACGGCCUUCGGGUUGUAAACCUCUUUCAGCACCGACGAAGCGCAAGUGACGGUAGGUGCAGAAGAAGGACCGGCCAACUACGUGCCAGCCGCCGCCGUAA